rnacentral:rRNA from 1 species
UGGGGAAUUUUGCACAAUGGGCGCAAGCCUGAUGCAGCGACGCCGCGUGAGGGAUGAAGGCCUUCGGGUUGUAAACCUUUUUCGCUCAUGGUCAAGCCGCAGCUUUGGGUUGUGGUGAGGGUAGUGGGUAAAGAAGCGCCGGCUAACUACGUGCCAGCAGCCGCGGUAAUACGUAGGGCGCGAGCGUUGUCCGGAAUUAUUGGGCGUAAAGGGCUUGUAGGCGGUUGGCCGCGUCUGCCGUGAAAUCCUCUGGCUUAACUGGGGGCGUGCGGUGGGUACGGGUUGACUUGAGUGCGGUAGGGGAGACUGGAAUUCCUGGUGUAGCGGUGGAAUGCGCAGAUAUCAGGAGGAACACCGGUGGCGAAGGCGGGGCUCUGGGCCGUUACUGACGCUGAGGAGCGAAAGCGUGGGGAGCGAACAGG